GUUGUAUGGUUAAGUGACUAAGCGUACACGGUGGAUGCCUUGGCAGUCAGAGGCGAUGAAAGACGUAGUAACUUGCGAUAAGCCCAGAUUAGGUAGUAACAACCAUUUGAGUCUGGGAUUUCUGAAUGGGGAAACCCACUUACAUAAGUAAGUAUCCUUACCUGAAUACAUAGGGUAAGGAGGCGAACCGGGGGAACUGAAACAUCUAAGUACCCCGAGGAAAAGAAAUCAACCGAGAUUCCGAAAGUAGCGGCGAGCGAAAUUGGACUAGCCCUUAAGCUUUACACGCGUUAGACGAACGGUCUGGAAAGUCCGA
rnacentral:rRNA from 1 species